CAGCUCUGCUGGGUCUCCAAGGAAAGACCUGAGGGCCCCAAGGACCCAUGGCGAUACUCACGGCUCACCAUCCCCACGCCUCCUGGGGUGAAUGCCCGAGGUCCUGACUUUCCCCAGCCCCAGUCCCAGCCCCAGCCCCACUGCUACAGCCCUCAGGCCCCAACCAGCCCAAGCUCCACCGCCCCUCUUCACAGACAGCAGUGCCACUCACUGGGCUUCCUGGCCCCAACCGCUCUCUUUCUCCAUGAUCUGCCCAGGCCACCCUGAAACACUUCUGGUUCCCAACUGCCUGCAGGAUAAAGUCUGAAGUCAUUUUUUUUUGGAGGAAGAUUAGCCCUGAGCUAAUGUCUGCUGCCAAUCCUCCUCUUUUCGCUGAGCAAGACUGGCCCUGAGGGGAAAAGGAAGUUUCUGGAACCAAAGCCUGGUCAGUGGAAUGUCUCCACCGGGUAGUCUGCAGACACACUUUCCUCACAGUUGGUUUGGGGUCUGCUCACGAUAGAAAGAUGGAGUUGGAGUGGGCUCCAGCACCCCAUCUGAGCGAGGCCCAGGGUCCUGCAGGAGGUGGGUGCUCCUUCUGUAUCUCCAUCGUUCUUACAGAAAGUAACCCGUGCAGCCACGGUUUUUCUGAGCCCCUGCUGUUGCGUGUGAGCUGUCUGUGCGCUAUCUCUAGUUCACAGGCCCUGAGGACAGGACUUUGGCUCACAGCUGUAUCUCCAGAGACUAGACCUGUGUCUGACACCUACCAGGUGCUCAAUAAACUCUUGUCAAAUGAGACCCCAGGAACAUUUCAUGUUUCCUGCUUCCGGAGGUGGAUAUUGGAGGCUCGAGAAGGUAAGGUCACUGCCCAGGGUUGACCACCCCCCUGGAGAACCAGGCCCAGACCAGGCUGGAGGGGCUCCAGAGCCCCCGCUCGUCACUGCAUGUGCUCUCCUGGAGCUGGGGGGUGUCCACCAGAGUUCCUGAAAACAGAGCGUCUGCUGAAGGAGGCUGGGGAUGGCUGCAGAAUCGUUACUGCUGGUGGCACCAGUGUACCCAUUCUGGCCUGACCCCUGAGUUGGUCAUAUUCGGCCCCGUGGACCACUCUUGUUUCUCCAGCUCUCUGCUGCCCUGGACCCCAGGCUAUUUAUUCAAGUGUCUUCCUCACUGUCUCCCCAAAGCAGAAAGUCUUCCUUGAUGCUCCCGGGGCUGACCUCAGCCCCAGCACUUCUUACUCCGUGUGAUCACUGCUGGCUUACAGGCCAGUCUGGUCCUUGCACUGAGAGCAGGGCCCCAAGGGAUGGCUCUGAGGAAGCAUGAGCAAGUGGUGGAUGGAAGGAUAGAUGGAUGGAUGGGUGGAUGGAUUGACGGAUGGAUGGAUGAGUGGGUGGGUGAGUGGCCAGAUGGGUAGAUGGAUGGGUGGGUAGGUAGAUGGUGAGUGGCCGGGUGGGUGAGUGGCUGGGUGGAUGAAUGAAAGGACAGGUAGGUAGUGGAUGGUUGGGUGGAUGGAUAGGUGUGUGGCUAGUGUGUUCCUAACCGAGGCCAGCAGACCACCCCUGCGUCAGGCACACCCUAGUGCCCCAGGGCUCCUGGCCAGAACGGAUCAGAGAGACUGUCCACAGAACAGCUGAAGAGGUGGGUGAAGCUUAGCCUGCAGAAGGCGAGGCCCAGGGGAGCAGGAGAGCUCCCUUUGAGGGUUUGG
ensembl:lncRNA